rfam:Trichobilharzia regenti genome assembly, scaffold: TRE_scaffold0028711
GUACUGUUGAAGAGUCCCAAACUAGGACGAAACGGCUGUCCAGUAC